rnacentral:rRNA from 1 species
AACGAACGCUGGCGGCAUGCCUAAUACAUGCAAGUCGAACGAGAUCUUCGGAUCUAGUGGCGCACGGGUGCGUAACGCGUGGGAAUCUGCCCUUGGGUUCGGAAUAACUUCUGGAAACGGAAGCUAAUACCGGAUGAUGACGUAAGUCCAAAGAUUUAUCGCCCAAGGAUGAGCCCGCGUAGGAUUAACUAGCUGGUGGGGUAAAGGCCCACCAAGGCGACGAUCCUUAGCUGGUCUGAGAGGAUGAUCAGCCACACUGGGACUGAGACACGGCCCAGACUCCUACGGGAGGCAGCAGUAGGGAAUAUUGGACAAUGGGCGAAAGCCUGAUCCAGCAAUGCCGCGUGAGUGAUGAAGGCCUUAGGGUUGUAAAGCUCUUUUACCCGGGAUGAUAAUGACAGUACCGGGAGAAUAAGCUCCGGCUAACUCCGUGCCAGCAGCCGCAGUAACAC